CCUACGGGAGGCAGCAGUGAGGAAUAUUGGUCAAUGGACGAGAGUCUGAACCAGCCAAGUAGCGUGAAGGAUGACUGCCCUAUGGGUUGUAGACUUCUUUUAUAUGGGAAUAAAAUGUUCCACGUGUGGGAUUUUGUAUGUACCAUAUGAAUAAGGAUCGGCUAACUCCGUGCCAGCAGCCGCGGUAAUACGGAGGAUCCGAGCGUUAUCCGGAUUUAUUGGGUUUAAAGGGAGCGUAGGUGGAAUGUUAAGUCAGUUGUGAAAGGUUGCGGCUCAACCUUAAAACUGCAGUUGAUACUGGCAGUCUAGAGUACAGUAGAGGUAGGCGGAAUUCGUGGUGUAGCGGUGAAAUGCUUAGAUAUCACGAAGAACUCCGAUUGCGAAGGCAGCUCACUGGACUGCAACUGACGCUGAGGAACGAAAGUGUGGGUAUCAAACAGGAUUAGAUACCCUUGUAGUC
rnacentral:rRNA from 1 species